GAUGAACGCUGGCGGCGUGCCUAAUACAUGCAAGUCGAGCGAACAGACGAGGAGCUUGCUCCUCUGAUGUUAGCGGCGGACGGGUGAGUAACACGUGGAUAACCUACCUAUAAGACUGGGAUAACUUCGGGAAACCGGAGCUAAUACCGGAUAACAUGUUGAACCGCAUGGUUCAACAGUGAGAGACGGUCUUGCGGUCACUUAUAGAGGGAUCCGGGCCGCAUUAGCUAGUUGGUAAGGUAAAGGCUUACCAAGGCAACGAUGCGUAGCCGACCUGAGAGGGUGAUAGGCCACACUGGAACUGAGACACGGUCCAGACUCCUACGGUAGGCAGCAGUAGGGAAUCUUACGCAAUGGGCGAAAGCCUUACGCAGCUACGCCGCGUGAGUGAAGAAGGUCUUCGGAUCGUAAAACUCUGUUAUUAGUGAAGAACAAAUGUGUAAGUAACUAUGCCCGUCUUGACGGUACCUAAUCAGAAAGCCACGGCUAACUACGUG
rnacentral:rRNA from 1 species